GACGAACGCUGGCGGCGUGCUUAACACAUGCAAGUCGAGCGGUAAGGCCCUUUCGGGGGUACACGAGCGGCGAACGGGUGAGUAAACACGUGGGUGACCUGCCUUUAGCUCUGGGAUAAGCCUGGGAAACCGGGUCUAAUACCGGAUAUGACUCCGCGGCGCAUGUUGUGGGGUGGAAAGCCUUGUGCGGCUGGAGAUGGGCCCGCGGCCUAUCAGCUUGUUGGUGGGGUGAUGGCCUACCAAGGCGACGACGGGUAGCCGGCCUGAGAGGGCGACCGGCCACACUGGGACUGAGACACGGCCCAGACUCCUACGGGAGGCAGCAGUGGGGAAUCUUGCGCAAUGGGCGAAAGCCUGACGCAGCGACGCCGCGUGAGGGAUGACGGCC
rnacentral:rRNA from 1 species